UGGCUCAGUGGUUAAGAGCACUGGCUAUUCUUCCAGAGUACCUGGGUUCAAUUCCCAG
rnacentral:tRNA from 1 species